CUGUGCAUGCACUGGAGAGUCAUGUGUCCAGGAGAACUUGAGCUGAGAGGCAGGUGGAGGAAUAAGAAGUGGAAUAAGGUGUGAAGGGCCCUAAGCUGCAGGCAGUUCCUGCGAGUAUCACGUGGCUGGUGUGGAUUCAUGGCUGCAGGUGGAUUCCUGGGUUCCAGAUGCAUUUAUCAAGUUCCACGCGGCCGAACUGAUGUCAUGCCUCUAUCAUCAUCAUGUAUUUAUUCAGCAUAAGGAAAAGAAUUAGUAGCUACUGUCUCACAGGUAAGAAAGAGAAUGAGAAUAUUUUAGAUUAUACAGUAGACACCCAGAUAAAGGAAGACUAUUCUUAUUUGUGAAAUAACUGGCAGCUCAUUGGUCAUUGCAGACGUCAAUCUCUGUGUGCUCAUGGUGACCCCGCUUGGUGAAAUUCCCAACCCCACCAAGUUUCCUCUGAUCUGGUAAGUGGUCUCCAUGGCCAUCUGGGGCUUGCACAGCUUCUGUGGUCCAGCUUCUCCACGGGUUUGCUUUCUGAAGCACCCUCACAGCCCACAUUGGUCCAGGCUGGCUAGCCCAAGAAACAAGAAAAUUUUCUUUGCAAGUUAUCUGCCCGGGUGUGGCCGGACAUGAAGAAUGACUCUGUAUCUAAUUGUAUAACAUUGUGAUGAAUGUUUUUAAACAAAAAAUACCCUGAAGACAGAAUUGCCAAGCUCCAAAAGCAAUCCAGAUGGAUCUUCCGACCUCAUUCUGCAUCAACAUUUCCUUUAUGUUCUUGGAGAGAGCUGAAGAGAUUUUUAUAUCCGUUCACAUUUCAAUCCUGGGACUAGGAAAGUUUCUCUCUUGUGCCUUAAAGAGCAACGUGUGCCACUAUUAAACUUGAACUGUCUGGACAGCUGUGAGGAUGGAAAAGAAAUACCAUGCUUGGAACGUUUUCAUUUUGUUGUGGUAUUGCUUAUUGUGCAGCUGGUCUGAAUUCUCUCUAAAAAUAUGUUGUGCAGCUGUUUCUCUGAGGCAGAACCUGAGGGCAAGUAUCAACCCAUCACCCCACACAUCCUUUCUGAUCUAGCAAGCCAUUUUGUCCUUAACUUGCUGUAGCAUAAUCACAAAAGAUUGCUGUUUAUCAGAAUCUUCUUUUGGUUACAGUGUAUGGGUUUAUUCCCGGAAGUUGCUGGAACACAGAAUUCCAUUCUAAAAGGCUUUCUACCCCCUCCCCCCAUUUUCAUAGUUGCCAUGGCAACAUUUGCUCUGAUGACACCUUCAGGAUUGUUACCACCAUCACAGUUAUUUCUUCUGAUUACCAUUGUGGCUUCUUGUCAUCAGCAUCGUCACUUUGACUGUCGGUUAGUCGCAUUCCGAUCCUUAACCUCUGGCCUCUGGGGAGCAUCUUCUCAAAACAGUUGAAAAAUGAAAAAAAAAAAAAAAAAAAACAAAAACCCAAAAACAAAACUGGAUGUAAAUUCCAAUAGAUUACCAGAAGUGCAAUUAUCCCCUGCAGGUUUAUUUUUUUCUUUCCUUUUUUAUUCCCACCAAGUCAAUGUAAUCCUUCCAGAAUGUAUGCAUAUAAAUUUGUCAUAACACCAAGGUAUACGUGGUUGUUGCUCCUGCUUUUUGUUUUUAGAAGAGGAAUGUAUGGUGGAUGUGAUUAUAUAUCCAAAGCUUUCUUUUUUUUUU